AUAAUGGUGAGGACAAUCUCUGAGAAGACCCUUGAACCUCUCCCAAGCCUGAUACAGGUUCUCUCCAUCUUUCUGCCUAAAUAAGAUGAUCUCUCUCCCGAGUCU